UGGCACGUGAUACUGAGUGCACGUUGGUCGCUUUAAUCCGUUUAUUUUUCCGACUUUGUGUGUCAUCAAUAAAUUAGUCUUUAAGCGUCGAGGAAUCGCUGGCACACCUAUACGUCACAGUGAUGACAUUAAUGGAGUAACAAUUGAUUUUGCUUUUAUUAUUCUACACACUUUACAAGAAUAAAAUUCACAGGCCUAGUCCUUGAGACCAUGGAUGUAUGACAUCCCUUCUCAAUACCUGUACAAAUAAAUAAGUUUUAUCUCAAUCUGUUUUAAUAGGUUUGACAGUCACUUGGAAGUUGGGAAUGGCAGCGGAUCCGGAAAAGAAUACGUUCUUGGUUGACCUCUCAGAAAAAAUAGUGCUGUGCGAGAACGGUGUUAAAAGAUGAUAGCAGCAUAUUAGUCGCCUUCCUGUGGGCUCAUUUUCUGGCAUCACUGGCCUGAUAGAGUAAGGUGAUAACAGCAUGGUUGGUCCCCUGCCCGUUGGUUCAUCUUCUGGCUUCACAGCCCUUGUAGAAUUCGGGAAGGCCUCAUAACCAGGUGAAUGUACUGCCAUGGCUGCCUACAUCAACGUUGAGGCUGGCUAGCAUCAUGGUGCGAGUGGACUGACCGAUGAAAUCUCCAAAUUGAAGAGGCAGGUUACACCAUAAGUAGCACAGACCCCUUCAUAUUAAAGCUGUGGGUAUGCCCCAGGAGAA